AUACGGAGGGUGCAAGCGUUACUCGGAAUUACUGGGCGUAAAGGACGCGUAGGCGGUUUAGAAAGUCAGAUGUGAAAGCCUAUGGCUUAACCAUAGAACUGCAUCUGAAACUCCUAGACUAGAGUGAGGGAGAGGUCAGUGGAGUUAGUGGUGUAGGGGUAAAAUCCGUAGAGAUCACUAGGAAUACUCAUAGCGAAGGCGACUGACUGGAACUUUACUGACGCUGAGGCGUGAAAGCGUGGGGAGCAAACAGGAUUAGAAACCCUAGUAGUCC
rnacentral:rRNA from 1 species